rnacentral:rRNA from 1 species
UACGGAGGAUGCAAGCGUUAUCCGGAAUCACUGGGUUUAAAGGGUGCGUAGGCGGAUUAAUAAGUCAGAGGUGAAAGCUCUCAGCUUAACUGAGGAACUGCCUUUGAUACUGUUAGUCUUGAAAUUAGAUGAGGUUGGCGGAAUGAGUCAUGUAGCGGUGAAAUGCAUAGAUAUGACUUAGAACACCGAUUGCGAAGGCAGCUGACUGGUCUAUAUUUGACGCUGAGGCACGAAAGCGUGGGGAGCGAACAGG